rnacentral:ribozyme from 13 species
AAACACAAAACAGAAAAAGACAAAAAGGGAAAAAACUGUUUGAACAAAUUUGUUUUGUUUCGUCUUUUCCCCUUUCUUCUCCGCCUUUUUUUGGUUGAGAAAAAAAGAUGGAAGAAGGAAUCAAGAUCACUGUCACAGGACCAAACACAGACAAGAGCCCAAAAGUAAAUGGUAUCUUUUUACAA